GCCGAUCAGCCGGAUGUCGGGCCGGUCGGAUGCCGUUCCAUGCGGUAGAGGCUUCGCUGGGGAGUCAAGUAUUUCCUGUACCUCAUAAUCACCAUUACCAACAGGGCCUGGUUCAGUUUCUUUUUGAUACAUAUAAACUGGCUUUAUCAAGCUGCAAUGAAACACCGGAUGUACUUUCCCCAACAUCCGGGGUAGCUGUAACCGUACAGUGACUGGAUUAACGAUCUUAACAAUCUUAAAUGGGCCAAUGUAUUUAGGUCCUAAUUUUCUGCAUGGAACUUUCAGCUUCAGAUAUUUGGUGGACAAAUAAACGAAUUGACCCACAA